rnacentral:rRNA from 1 species
CCUACGGGAGGCUGCAGUGGGGAAUAUUGCACAAUGGGCGCAAGCCUGAUGCAGCCAUGCCGCGUGUGUGAAGAAGGCCUUCGGGUUGUAAAGCACUUUCAGCGGGGAGGAAGGCGUUAAGGUUAAUAACCUUGGCGAUUGACGUUACCCGCAGAAGAAGCACCGGCUAACUCCGUGCCAGCAGCCGCGGUAAUACGGAGGGUGCAAGCGUUAAUCGGAAUUACUGGGCGUAAAGCCCACGCAGGCGGUCUGUCAAGUCGGAUGUGAAAUCCCCGGGCUCAACCUGGGAACUGCAUUCGAAACUGGCAGGCUAGAGUCUUGUAGAGGGGGGUAGAAUUCCAGGUGUAGCGGUGAAAUGCGUAGAGAUCUGGAGGAAUACCGGUGGCGAAGGCGGCCCCCUGGACAAAGACUGACGCUCAGGUGCGAAAGCGUGGGGAGCAAACAGGAUUAGAUACCCGGGUAGUC